UCCACUGUGGCAGUCAUGGAGGGUCACUGUUCUGGUCACCUCUUUAAAAAGAACUUACCUGGGAGACGUGGUGCCACUGCGGGCUCGCUCUGCGGUGCGCUAGGCUUGGUGGGAAGACCUGUUCUCGAGUCCGCGCUUUUCGUCACCGCCAUGUCGGGAGGUGGUGUGAUUCGUGGGCCCGCAGGGAACAACGAUUGCCGCAUCUACGUGGGUAACUUACCUCCAGACAUCCGAACCAAGGACAUUGAGGACGUGUUCUACAAAUACGGCGCUAUCCGCGACAUCCACCUCAAGAAUCGCCGCGGGGGACCGCCCUUCGCCUUCGUUGAGUUUUAGGACCCGUGAGACGCGGAAGACGCGGUGUUUGGUCGCGACGUGGGUACCGUCUGCGGGUGGAGUUUCCUCCAAGCGGCCGUGGAACAAGCCGAGGCGGCAGCGGGGGUGGAGGUGGCGGAGCUCGCCGAGGUCGCUAUGGCCCCUCAUCCAGGCGGUCUGAAAACAGAGUGGUUGUCUCUGGACUGCCUCCAAGUGGAAGUUGGCAGGAUUUAAAGGAUCACAUGCGUGAAGCAGGUGAUGUAUGUUAUGCUGAUGUUUACCGAGAUGGCACUGGUGUCGUGGAGUUUGUACAGAAAGAAGAUAUGACCUAUGCAGUUCGAAAACUGGAUAACACUGAGUUUAGAUCUCAUGAGGGAGAAACUGCCUACAUCCGGGUUAAAGUUGAUGGGCCCAGAAGUCCAAGUUAUGGAAGAUCUCUAUCUCGAAGCCGUAGUCGUAGCAGAAGCCGUGGCAGAAGCAACAGCAGGAGUCGCAGUUACUCCCCAAGGAGAAGCAGAGGAUCACCACGCUAUUCUCCCCAUCAUAGCAGAUCUCGCUCUCGUACAUAAGAUGAUUGGUGACACUUUUUGUAGAACCCAUGUUGUAUACAGUUUUCCUUUAUUCAGUACAAUCUUUCAUUUUUUAAUUCAAACUGUUUUGUUCAGAAUGGGCUAAAGUGUUGAAUUGCAUUCUUGUAAUAUCCCCUUGCUCCUAACAUCUACAUUCCCCUCGUGUCUUCGAUAAAUUGUAUUUUAAGUGAUGUCAUAGACAGGGUUGUUUAAAUUUAGUUAACUCCAUACUCUUCAGACUGUGAUAUUGUGUAAAUGUCUAUUCUGCCCUGGUUUGUGUGAACUGGGAUGUUGGGGGUGUUUGUGGUUGUCUUACCUGGGGAAGUUCUUAUGUUUAUCUUGCUUUUCAUGUGUCUUUCUGUAGACAUAUCUGAAGAGAUGGAUUAAGAAUGCUUUGGAUUAAGGAUUGUGGAGCACAUUUCAAUCAUUUUA